UGAAGGACACAAAAACCUAACACGUACGCAUCCUUUUUACUCUAGACCCAACUGCGAGUGUGGAGCCAAGCCAUGUCCCUCAACCGCCUCCUCUCCGAGGCCCGCCGCUUCGAUCGGCGAGCCUCCGCCCUCUCCUCCCUCCAAUCCCUCUCUGCCUUCGCCGCCACUGUGGCUCCCUCCACCUCCCGUCCCUCUUCCCCCCACCGCCAUGAUCAAUGACCGCGUCGCCGAGGCUGUGAAGUACAAGCUUCGGCAGCUCGAGAACCCCGACCCCCGGUUCCUGAAGCACGGGUCCCCCGACCUACCCUUUCUAGCCACACGCGCAUCCUCUCCUCCCCCGAGACGCGCAUGACCACGCUUCCUAACGGCCUUCACAUUGCCACUGAGUCCACCCUCGGCGCCCACACCGCCAUCGUCAGCAUCUGGAUCGACGUCGGGUCACAGUUCGAGACUGAGGAGACCAACGGCACCGCGUACUUUCUCGAGCACAUAAUAAGAAUAAGAUACUUCAUACUUGUCCCUUUUUUUUACGUCCUUUGGAUAUUAUUGUUUGUUUAUUUAUUUGCUCAUUUGGUGUUGAAUUUUGUGCAUUUGUGUGUGAAGGGGAACAUUCCCUGUGGAGCAAGGAGAUCUACACAAGAGGUGGAAGUUGGUGAGUAAGAGGUUGAGAAAAUUUCACCAAUGUGUUGUGUUUCCUAUAGGUAACUUAUCUAGUGGACUCUGUAGGCAUCGCGCAAUUCUCUUCAAGAGAUUGGCUGGUAGUUGGCAGUUUCCGCGUUGAUGGUUUGGUUGUUGCUUCUGUUGCUAUAUGUCGAUGCUGAUUCUAAUAAUCUGCAUUAUCCUUUUGAGGUUUUUAUUAUAAUUUUAUUACACAAAUACCAUAUGCUAAUAUGUAGUGAAGUCUUUUGAUAUUGUACCAUUGAUUUUGCAUAGUGUUCUUUAUACUACUUUGGUUAGGUGCUACAGUGCAUUAUAAAAGGAUAAAUAUUUAGUGGUAUCAAAUAUUGAAAAUGUAACAUUAAGAGGUUACUUUGUAAUGCCAUAUUCUAUGGUACUCCUUGUUAUAAUGUCAUGUUCUGUGGCAUACCUUGCUAGUUGCUACCUCGGUGUUUGACUUAGAUGUAGCUGUUUGUAUUUUCAAUUUAUGAAGAUAGUUUUUUGUAAUUUUAAUUCUUUCCUAAUGGUGUUUUUUUCUUAUUGUUGAACCUCUAUUUUCUUUUCUUUUAUCCUAUUUGAUUCUAGUUGGACAGAUGAAAUAACUGAUAUCUUAGCAAUGCAGUAAAUCAGACUUGGAUGAGGCUGAAUUUUCCAAUUUCCAUUCUAAUGUGAAGCGCGGGGACAUAGUUGGUAUCACUGGGUUUCCAGAAACCAGGUGGAAUCAUUGCUCUGCUUGAUGAAGCUUGGUAUGAAGAAAUUUCUUUAUUCUUUGCUGUGUAUGAAUUUAGAUUUGAAAAAAAAAAAGAGGAAAGAAUAGAGAAAUGGGAGGAGUUCCAUAACUGUGUCAUGAAUUAUAUCUUUGAAUAGAUUGUUACUGUUUUAGUAAAUGGCAAUCCAAGUUUUCUGCAUGUAAUGGGAUGUGAUGCAUUGAUAUUUGGAACUAUUAGGAUUUGAUGUUCAUUCUUAUGAAUUUGAAGUGAACGAAUGGGUAAGUUUUAGUCUCUUCUUUACUGAUAACUUUUUCCAAGUCUUAUGGUUGUUUCCUAGUAAUCUCUCCUGAUGAAGUCAUUGAUUAUAUUUUCAAAAUUGUUCAUAGGCUGCGUAUAAACUUGUUACAUAUAAUCACAAUCUUUUAGUGGCUAUAAUAUGAUAGAGCAAAGCCCCAUAUAAUAGUGGCUAUAAAUAAUCACAAUUUUUUAGUGGCUAUAAUAUGAUGUCUCAAAUGCAGUGAUUAGUUUUGUGAAUACUGGUAUAAUAUGAUAGAGCAAAGCCCCAUGGGUCUAAAAGUUUUUUUUUUGGCUAAAUCAAGAUCCAUUGCCAAAGAUAUGGGGCAAGAUUGUCUUUGGUGGCAUUGACUGGCCACACUUAUGUUCCACUUUCUCACAAUGUUCAUUGGAAGGUCUAUUAUAUUUUCAACUUUAUUUGCUUCAUUUUGGCUCUUCUUAUCAACCUUGUUGGUGUAAUUGGCUUUGUCCAAUCUUCCCUCCUAGUUUCAUUUAUUCCUUUUCAUUUAUUCCUUUUGUUACUAUUAGUUAACAUUUCAAACAUUUAGUAUUCCAUUUUUCUUCUCAUAUCCUAAGAGUUGAAGAUGGCUGCUCUAUUGUCUGCUAUAGUGGUUUUGUAGGUCUGGAAGUGCCUCUCCUCCACAGGGUCUCUCUUGAUGGCAGUCGUUGUAUGGUUGGUUUCAAGGUUCUUUGGAGAUUUUUUCUUGGGAGCAUGUGAUUCGGAGUUUGACUAUGGCAAUCUGCCCAAAGGAUUUACUAAAGUUGUGUACUUGUGUCAUUACUAUGCUAAAUUGUGUAUAGAAAAUAAAAAGAUUCACAAGAUUCACAUCAGUUAAUAUUAUUGUUAUUAUUAUUAUUA